AUUCCUACGGGAGGCAGCAGCCGCGGUAAUGGACGAAAGUCUGACCGAGCAACGCCGCGUGAGUGAAGAAGGUUUUCGGAUCGUAAAACUCUGUUGGUAGAGGAGAACGUUGGUGAGAGUGGAAAGCUCAUCAAGUGACGGUAACUACCCAGAAAGGGACGGCUAACUACGUGCCAGCAGCCGCGGUAAUAAUCU
rnacentral:rRNA from 1 species